rnacentral:rRNA from 1 species
UACGUAGGGGGCAAGCGUUUGUCCGGAUUUAUUGGGCGUAAAGAGCGUGUAGGCGGCCAUACAGGUCCGUUGUGAAAACUGGAGGCUUAACCUCCAGACGUCGAUGGAAACCGUAUGGCUAGAGUCCGGAAGAGGAGAGUGGAAUUCCUGGUGUAGCGGUGAAAUGCGCAGAUAUCAGGAAGAACACCCGUGGCGAAGGCGGCUCUCUGGGACGGUACUGACGCUGAGGAGCGAAAGCGUGGGGAGCGAACAGG